rnacentral:rRNA from 1 species
AGAGUUUGAUCAUGGCUCAGGACGAACGCUGGCGGCGUGCUUAACACAUGCAAGUCAAGGGGGCCCGCAAGGGUAACCGGCGAACGGGUGCGUAACACGUGAGCAACCUACCCAAGUGUGGGGGAUAGCCGGGCCAACGCCCGGGUAAUACCGCAUACGUUCGGCGAGCGGAGUCGCUUGCCGAGGAAACCUCCGGGGCACUUGGAGGGGCUCGCGGCCUAUCAGCUAGUUGGUGCGGUAACGGCGCACCAAGGCUAUGACGGGUAGCUGGUCUGAGAGGAUGGCCAGCCACAUUGGGACUGCGACACGGCCCAGACUCCUACGGGAGGCAGCAGUGGGGAAUAUUGCGCAAUGGGCGAAAGCCUGACGCAGCGACGCCGCGUGGGGGAUGAAGCAUUUCGGUGUGUAAACCCCUGUUGCUCGGGACGAACAAGCCUUUUCGAGGGCUCUGACGGUACCGGGUGAGGAAGCACCGGCUAACUCUGUGCCAGCAGCCGCGGUAAUACAGAGGGUGCGAGCGUUGUCCGGAAUCACUGGGCGUAAAGGGCGCGUAGGCGGCCGACUAAGUGUGUGGUGAAAGCCCGGGGCUCAACCCCGGGUCUGCCGUGCAAACUGGUUGGCUUGAGCACUGUAGAGGCAGGUGGAAUUCCGGGUGUAGCGGUGGAAUGCGUAGAGAUCCGGAAGAACACCGGUGGCGAAGGCGGCCUGCUGGGCAGUAGCUGACGCUGAGGCGCGACAGCGUGGGGAGCAAACAGGAUUAGAUACCCUGGUAGUCCACGCCGUAAACGAUGGGCACUAGGUGCUUGGGGGAGCGACCCCCUGAGUGCCGUCGCUAACGCAUUAAGGCUCCGCUGGGAUUUCNNNNNNNNNNNNNNNNNNNNNNNNNNNNNNNNNNNNNNNNNNNNNNNNNNNNNNNNNNNNCGCCAUAAUUCGACGCAACGCGAAGAACCUUACCAGGGACAUGCAUGGGAAAGCCCCUGGAAACAGGGGCCCCUCUUCGGAGCUCAUGCACAGGUGCUGCAUGGCUGUCGUCGGCUCGUGUCGUGAGAUGUUGGGUUAAGUCCCGCAACGAGCGCAACCCUUACCCUUAGUUGCCAGCGAGUCAUGUCGGGGACUCUAGGGGGACUGCCGGUGCCAAACCGGAGGAAGGUGGGGAUGACGUCAAGUCAUCAUGGUCCUUACAUCUGGGGCUACACACGUGCUACAAUGGCUGGUACAGAGGGCUGCGAACGCGCAAGCGGGAGCCAAUCCCCAAAGCCAGCCUCAGUUCGGAUUGUCGGCUGCAACUCGCCGGCAUGAAGCUGGAAUCGCUAGUAAUCGUGGAUCAGCUACGCCACGGUGAAUACGUUCCCGGGCCUUGUACACACCGCCCGUCACGCCAUGGAAGCUGUGAGCGCCCGAAGUCGGUGCCGGAACCCGCAAGGGACCAAGCCGCCGAAGGCGAGCGCAGUGACUGGGGCGAAGUCGUAACAAGGUAACC